GAGAAAUUCACUCAAGAAGGCUUCACCGAUCCGGUUUCACGGCAGCAAUGAAUACUUUAUCGGCGUUUCUUUUUCCGCCGCCGCCAUCACUGUUCGUUAACGUGAUGACGGUGGUGAGCUCGGCGGUGGUAGCGGUGAUAGGGCUUUCGGAAGCGAGAGGAACGCAUUUGCAGUAUUCAAAGUUCUGGAAUACGAGUAAUAGUGCUACGAAAUCAUCUAACUCAGAGCAACUCAGGAUUUCCUCAAGAUUGGGGAUGCUCCUGCUUUAUACUCCGGCGGCUCUCGCCGGCGCUAUGUCGUUCUGGUUCUUUCCGAACGAUGAUUGGAGGAUUCUUCUGCUUAAGUCCGCUCUCACUCUUCAUUUCUUCAAGCGGGACUUUGAGGUACUGUUUGUUCACAAAUACAGCGGCAAAAUGGUACUUGAUUCAGCCAUUUUAAUCUCCCUCAGCUACUUCUCCUCUACAGCACUCAUGAUAUACACUCAACAACUAUCAAAAGCACUUCCAGAGCCAUCCAUUGAUCUGAAAAACAUUGGAAUUGGUUUGUUUUUGGUAGGCAUUACUGGGAAUAUGUACCACCAUUAUCUGUUGUCUCAAACAAGAAAAAAAGGAGAAACAGGCUACAAAAUUCCCAAAGGAGGUCUCUUCAACAUUGUCAUUUGCCCUCACUAUCUUUGUGAAAUAACUGUGUAUUUUGGGUUUGCUCUCAUCUCUCAGACACUUUAUUCAUUGUGCUUCGCCAUUGCCACAGCCAUCUAUUUGGGUGGGAGGAGUUACGCCACUAGGAAAUGGUACGUCUCUAAAUUUGACGACUUCCCUCCGCAUAUCAAAGCCCUUAUUCCCUUUCUAUUUUAGCCUACCUUAAAUUAUAAUAAAACUAUAUCCUUGUCCUUUUUAAAAGUUGAAUAAUAUUACCCUUCAUAUUU
rnacentral:misc_RNA from 1 species